CAGGCCUAACACAUGCAAGUCGAACGGUAGCACAGAGAGCUUGCUCUCGGGUGACGAGUGGCGGACGGGUGAGUAAUGUCUGGGAAACUGCCUGAUGGAGGGGGAUAACUACUGGAAACGGUAGCUAAUACCGCAUAACGUCGCAAGACCAAAGAGGGGGACCUUCGGGCCUCUUGCCAUCAGAUGUGCCCAGAUGGGAUUAGCUAGUAGGUGGGGUAACGGCUCACCUAGGCGACGAUCCCUAGCUGGUCUGAGAGGAUGACCAGCCACACUGGAACUGAGACACGGUCCAGACUCCUACGGGAGGCAGCAGUGGGGAAUAUUGCACAAUGGGCGCAAGCCUGAUGCAGCCAUGCCGCGUGUAUGAAGAAGGCCUUCGGGUUGUAAAGUACUUUCAGCGGGGAGGAAGGUGUUGCGGUUAAUAACCGCAGCAAUUGACGUUACCCGCAGAAGAAGCACCGGCUAACUCCGUGCCAGCAGCCGCGGUAAUACGGAGGGUGCAAGCGUUAAUCGGAAUUACUGGGCGUAAAGCGCACGCAGGCGGUCUGUCAAGUCGGAUGUGAAAUCCCCGGGCUCAACCUGGGAACUGCAUUCGAAACUGGCAGGCUAGAGUCUUGUAGAGGGGGGUAGAAUUCCAGGUGUAGCGGUGAAAUGCGUAGAGAUCUGGAGGAAUACCGGUGGCGAAGGCGGCCCCCUGGACAAAGACUGACGCUCAGGUGCGAAAGCGUGGGAGCAAACAGG
rnacentral:rRNA from 1 species